rnacentral:rRNA from 1 species
CACGUAGGGCGCAAGCGUUGUCCGGAAUUAUUGGGCGUAAAGAGCUCGUAGGCGGUCCGUCACGUCCGCUGUGAAAACCCAGGGCUCAACCCUGGGCUUGCAGUGGAUACGGGCAGACUAGAGGUAGGUAGGGGAGAAUGGAAUUCCCGGUGUAGCGGUGAAAUGCGCAGAUAUCGGGAGGAACACCGGUGGCGAAGGCGGCAUCCUGGACCGACACUGACGCUGAGGAGCGAAAGCCAGGGGAGCAAACGGG